UGAAUGUCCAGUUUACCCAUAUAUAAGCAAUUUCAAUGGAUCGGUGCGAUAUUAAUAUUAUAUACAUAAAUAAUAGUAUAAUACAUUAUCCUACGAUGGUUUCGUUCGCCAACUAGACACGCACUACAUUAUUGUACGAGUGUGUAAGUGUGAGUUGUGCUAUACCGUCAUGGCACGGCGAAGAGAAGAGUCGGGGCGGUAACGAAUAAUAUUAUCAUGUUAUAUACGGUGCGAUCGCGGUGUAUUGUUGAAUCGCGCGCAGUGCGUUCGACGCGAAUCACGUCCUGCUGGUCGCUCGGGACUUUCGUCGAGUACCUCAACUCGACGUUGCUGUAUGUCCGGUCCAAUAAUAACAAUGGCGUAUAAGACGUAGCUCCCAAACCGGUCGACAUCCAUCUGCAGAACAACUCAUUCCGCAAGAAUGAGCGGUAUAGUUUGAAAACUUACCAAAGUUAUCUGGUGGAUGUCGAUAUGUUGGUGAGCAGCCGUCGCACAUAGGUCUGAUGUACCUAUGGAAAGUUAUUAUUGGAUCGAUCAUAAUAUUUCGUUGAGAAGUUAUCUGUCCAUAAACUUAUUUUCAGAUUUGUAAGCCAAUUCCGUUGCCAUUUUUUAAUCAUUCUUUGUUUUUAUUAAGGUUGAGGUGUAUCAGCAUUUUAGGGGCUAUUGUAAUUCCCACUUCCAGGACUUUAUCAUACAUACAGCCGACAGCCCGAUGACCUACAUUUUUGUGUAUUCUGGUCCACCCUAUGAUGGCCGCGAAGUAACGAUCACGUCACCGUUUAUCAGAUUGCCCAGUUUGAAAGAGUCUCCAACAAUUUCAUCGGAUAGGUACGCCAUAAACCGUGGCAUAGCGCUGGGCCAGCAUCAUUUUGUCCGGAUCAAUAUCUACAAAAAUGACGUCCCAAUUAUUAGAAGCUAAUAAUAUAGUGUCUUUGUCGAACAGUCAGCUGUACGAAGUUUCCGCUGUGCCACAAAACGGGUCGACGCCGGUCGCUGAACAUGGGAAGUCCUCAAGUCCACCCAGCAUCGUAUUGAUGAAUCAACAAUACAUCUUACAUCUUACAUUUAACAUCUUACAUCUUACAUCUAUCAUUGCAAUCUUAUAAUUCUUCACCUGAAUGCAUGUAAUCCUGAAUGUACAGUUAAUUUAUUACUACCCAUCUACAAAGUCAACACUGUAUUAAUAAAAGUAUUUACUGU